ensembl:lncRNA
CUGCACCAGCUCCUGUCUCCUGUCUCCUCCAGUUCCUGCCCUGACUUCUUCAGUGAUGCACAGUGAUGUGGAAGUGUUGUGAAGAGGUGAUCGUCCAUCAUACCCUCUUCACUUUCUAGCAGAAUACUUCAUAGAGAGAAAUGACCUCUCGUCAACUCCUUGGUUGUCUUAAAAAGCGCUUGAAGACAGAGACAGUUGGAUCUUCGUGAGUUCAAGGCAAACAAGAAGAAAAGAAAUCUGAGGUUUAAAGAAGAAAACCAUUCGGACUGCCAUUGCAGAAGCACUCAGGCAGUCAGGCCGUUCUGGUGAAGCAGGCAACCCUGUCCUGAGAAGGGAAAUGCUUUCACUUUGCUACUUAGAUGAGCAGAGAUAUCUAAAGCUGGGGGAACAAGCAGGAAAGCCUGACAUCCCCACACAGUGUCCUUUAGAUCUCUAGUGAAGACUACACUCAAAAGAGAAGAUGCGAAACUCCAGUGUCCUUGGAUAGCACUGAACCUGAGGUUGGUAAGUGGAUUUACACAGGAGAACAUGGAAUGACAAGCUUGGUGUCAGCCUGACCUAAGUUCUGCUUUUGGCUGUACAACUUAGCAGCUUUGUGUCUCUGGGCAAAUCGCAAGGCUUGAUGAGAAACACAUUCCCUGCCUCCCCCUCCCCGCUCUGACUUCAUUUCCAAACCAGAGGGGAGAAGAAAUGGCCAACUCGGUGACAUGUUCCUUUAGAGAUACGACUACACAAGUAAUAACUUGCCUAACUGAAUCGGACGGAGACUUCCAUUUGAAAAGAGCCCGUCACAAACUCUGCCAAAGGUUUGAGGCAAUGGGAAAUGUGAGAAUCGUUCUCUUGCUGGAUUUUUUUUCAUUCCACAAAUAUUUAUGGUGUAUUUACAACGUGCCAACCACUAUGCCAACCCCAGAGUAUACCCUGGAGCUCAAACGCAGAUAUGGUUUGUUUUUUGGAGUGGUUUGCAAGAUUCUUCCAUGCAAACCAUCUAAGUGAGAGGAAUUCAGUGCUGUUGGAGACCCUACACUACAGAUGACAAAUCUGAAGCUAAGAACUAGCAAAUUUGGGGGAGUCUUGCCAAAAGUCAGCUUCAGACAAUACUCAAGGAGCAUCGUCCCAGAAGCCUUCUAAUUGCUGCACCGGCAUCACCAACCUCAGUUUAGAGUUAGGGGACAAACGAUUGCUUACUCAAUUGCAUGUCAACUUGGCAAUAUGGACACAUUAAUUAUUGUCUUUGUAUUUUACUGAUGCUGUUGAAACACAGAGGGAUUUGGUGGCCCGCUGUAGCUCAGGGCCACCCAACUAUAUAGAGCAGAGUAGAAGCUAGAUUUCUGGCCCCUUGCGUGAUUCAUUGGCAGGUAAUAUCAUCCAUGCUCCCUGCUUUGAUGUUUCUGAAUGCGGGAACUUUGAGCCCUAUGGUCUUAAAUUAUUUCCAUGACCUAUGCAAAUUAUAACUACAUUCCCAUUAACAGGCCAUUCUGUAGCAAAAUUUCAACACACCGAGAGCAAAGUCUUGCAAGCUUGGAGCGUUAUUUAUGGACAGUUAUGAGGACUGCUAUUCCAUCCUCUACAUGUGGCACAGCUAAGUGCUUACUCAUAUAUGCAAGCUGGCUACUCAGCCCCAUUUUUCUUUAUUUCCCCUCAGCAAGAAUGGAGAAAGCAGCUUUGAGCAUAUGGAAGCAUUUCUACAUUGCUAGAUUUUUUUUCUGGGUGAGGUGGGGUGGGAGGGUGGAAGCCUAAUUUGCAACUCUGUGUCAGAAGAAAUAUAUAUUUCCAAGAGAUGCUGAUUAGACAAGAUUCUACAUGGCAAAAGUUGUCUCCAGUAAAGCAUGAUUAAGAAUUCUACUCUGCCACCAUUUGUGAAGCACACUUCUAAGGAUCACAAAGGGAAGAAAACAUCACAGUAUGAGAGAGCAGUGGUCGGAUCACAGAAAACAGAUUUCUGCACACCCCAAAAUUCAUUAAAAAAUGAAAGGCAAGUAGCAAGAAGGAAAUGUUCUUAAUAGACCCAACAAAGGCCUGAUAUCCUUAGUAGGGAUGAAUCUUUCAUGAAUCGAAAAAAAAAAAGAAAUCAGCAGAAAAAAUGGGCAAGGGCCAUGAACAGAAAAUUAAGAGUGUAGACAAUCUGCAGUAAACAUGAAAAGGAGUUUCAUCUCAGGAAUAAUCAAAGAAAUGUAAAUGAAAAUAAUAUGGAAAGAACCAGUGUUUGCAUGCUCUGCGUCAAAGGUGAAAGACAAAUUCCAGUGUUUGUAAGCAUGUGGGAUCCGGUCUUCCCAUCCUCAGUUUUAUGCCCACAGACUCUCAUGGCAGUUCAGCCUUGUGCUUCUUUGUCUCUAAAACGUUUCCAAGUGUCGAUGUUCUCUGACCCAUGAAUUUCAAUUUUUAUACCAAGAAAGUCAUUAAAAAAUAAAAGUUUGGGGGCUGGGGAUUUAGCUCAGUGGUAGAGCGCUUACCUAGGAAGCACAAGGCCCUGGGUUCGGUCCCCAGCUCCGAAAAAAAGAACCAAAAAAAAAAAGUUUGAGU